CGGGGAGGAGGACAUGGUUUU
rnacentral:miRNA from 1 species